UGGGGAAUAUUGCACAAUGGGGGAAACCCUGAUGCAGCGACGCCGCGUGAACGAAGAAGGUAUUCGUAUCGUAAAGUUCUGUCCUAUGGGAAGAUAAUGACAGUACCAUAGAAGAAAGCUCCGGCUAAAUACGUGCCAGCAGCCGCGGUAAUACGUAUGGAGCGAGCGUUGUCCGGAAUUAUUGGACGUAAAGGGUACGCAGGCGGUUUAAUAAGUCGAAUGUUAAAGAUCGGGGCUCAACCCCGCAAAGCAUUGGAAACUGAUAAACUUGAGUAGUGGAGAGGAAAGUGGAAUUCCUAGUGUAGUGGUGAAAUACGUAGAUAUUAGGAGGAAUACCAGUAGCGAAGGCGACUUUCUGGACACAAACUGACGCUGAGGUACGAAAGCGUGGGGAGCAAACAGG
rnacentral:rRNA from 1 species